GCUUAAUUCUAAUAAAAAUAUAUAUUUUUAAUAAAAUUCGGUUGGGGCGACCAGGGAAUACAAAUCAUCCCUAUUCAAAAGAUAUAUAAAUCUUGAAAAUGACCCUUAAACAAGAUCACAAAAACAAGC
rnacentral:rRNA from 1 species